rnacentral:rRNA from 1 species
GGUUCCCUACGGGACGCAGCAGUGAGGAAUAUUGGUCAAUGGUCGGGAGACUGAACCAGCCAAGCCGCGUGAGGGAUGAAGGUACAGAGUAUCGUAAACCUCUUUUGUCAGGGAACAAAGGCGGGGACGUGUCCCCGGAUGAGUGUACCUGAAGAAAAAGCAUCGGCUAAAUCCGUGCCAGCAGCCGCGGUAAUACGGAGGAUGCGAGCGUUAUCCGGAUUUAUUGGGGUUAAAGGGUGCGCAGGCGGGCUGUUAAGUCAACGGUCAAAGCCCGGGGGUCAACCCCGGCCCGCCGCUGAAACGGG